GUGCUUGCUUUGGCAGCACAUAUGCUAAAAUUGGAACGCUACAGAGAAUAGCAUGGUCCCUGUGCAAGGAUGACACGCAAAUUCAUGAAGCAUUCCAUAUUUUU